rnacentral:piRNA from 1 species
UGGUUGUGUGGGACUUAAGUGCCGUUGC